rnacentral:lncRNA from 1 species
CUUAUUGAGUCACGUUCUUUUGGACCAUGACGUGAUGUUUUCUGGAUUAUGGUUGUGUCUCUACAUUCCUUUUCAGAUGCCUCAACAGACCACCUGGGGGAGCUUAUCUCAACAUUCAGCGUCAUUGGAUGCCUUCUGGAGUGCCUGACAUCAGCCCAAGGCAGCUGGAAGCAAGGGCGUGAGGAACCUCUUGGAGGGCAAGCAUCUCAGCCCAGCUGCCUUCGCUGUGGAUCCAAGGUUUGACAUGUAACUGGGAAACACCUGGCAGCACCGCAGGGAGGGCACUUUGGCAAAGCCACCUGCUCCCAAGUGCCACACCUGUGGAGCCGCAGCUUAUGUGAAAGCUAAUACUAUGCAGAGAAUUCUGCCUUCCUGGAAAGGGCUAUACAAAAUGCUGCACCUGCUGGAGCAGAAACCUAAGAAGAAACGACAGGAGGCUACACUGGAAGCCAAGCCAAAAAAGUCCAAAGUGAAAAAGCAGGAGGAAUCAAGUCCUGCAGAGGAGACCAGUGCUGCCCGUCAAGCUGGUGUCAAGAAACUGCGAAAGAAGAAAGAAGAGAAACCGGAAGAAGAGAAUGAAAAGGGUCAAAAUGCUAAAUUAAUUAAGGAGCCCAGGAAAAAAAAGGAAACACCUUCUUCUCAUUUCAGUGUGGCCAGAACACCAAAAAAGAAACAAGGUAGUGUUUUGUCUUGC